CUACGUGCCAGCAGCCGCGGUAAUACGGAAGGUCCGGGCGUUAUCCGGAUUUAUUGGGUUUAAAGGGAGCGUAGGCUGGAGAUUAAGUGUGUUGUGAAAUGUAGACGCUCAACGUCUGACUUGCAGCGCAUACUGGUUUCCUUGAGUACGCACAACGUUGGCGGAAUUCGUCGUGUAGCGGUGAAAUGCUUAGAUAUGACGAAGAACUCCGAUUGCGAAGGCAGCUUACUAAGGUACAACUGACGCUGAAGCACGAAAGCGUGGGUAUCAAACAGGAUUAGAUACCCUGGUAGUCCACGCAGUAAACGAUGAUAACUGGGCGUAUGCGAUAUACAGUAUGCUCCUAAGCGAAAGCGUUAAGUUAUCCACCUGGGGAGUACGCCGGCAACGGUGAAACUCAAAGGAAUUGACGGGGGCCCGCACAAGCGGAGGAACAUGUGGUUUAAUUCGAUGAUACGCGAGGAACCUUACCCGGGAUUGAA
rnacentral:rRNA from 1 species